rnacentral:lncRNA from 13 species
AUGACCACCCCUGGGGCUGAAGGGCAGAGCUGGGCAUGUCAUCCCUGGAUCUCAGUGAGGCCAGGAGCCGUGGGAGAGGGAGGUCCUUUAAGGACUAGAGCUACGGAGAGAUACAGUGUGAAACCACAAAUUGCAUCUAGGACACAGAGCAGCCUGGAGGAGCAGGCUCAGGGAAUGGGAGACGGACGACUGGAGAAGAACCAGCACAUGGGACAAUCUCCAAGACAUACUCUGGAGUCUAGCACUUUGAGACAAAGGUGUUGGCAGCGCCGGUUCCUUCUGAGAGCCAUGAGGAACUAAUUCAGGGGCACCGAGAUGCCACCAGGCUGGGCUCUCCAAUUAUACCUAGAGGUUUAAAAAUUUAGCCUCGUCUAAGCCAGCUCCACCCCUGGGCUUCAUCAGUGUACUUCUUUGGGAGGCCAAGGUAGGAGGAUCCCUUGAGCCCAGGAAUUUAAGACCAGCCCUUGCAACAUACCAAGAUCCCGUCUCUACAAAAAAGCACAAAGAUUAGUGAGGUGUGAUGGAGCACGCCUGUAGAUCCAGCUACUUGGGAGGCUGAGGUGGGAGGAUCACCUGAGCCCAGGAAGUCAAGGCUACAGUGACCUAUAAUUGUGCCACCACACCCCAGCCUGUGCAACAGAAGGGGAGACCCUAUCUCAAAAACAAAACAAAACAACUCCCCCCACCCCGAAGAAAAGGCAUAAUUAUAUGUACGUGAGGGUGUGAGAGAAGUCGUGUUUUGUCCCUGAGGGAAUUAACUUCCCAGCUGGAGAAAGGCCAGUAAUUGGGGAGGGAUUCUAGAAGGUUCUAGAAGACAAUGGAGAGAGGAGAGGAAAGCAAACCUGAUUUCCUUCCUGUGUCAGUUGGUCCCACUGAGCAGAACCAAUGGGCACCCAGCUGCUCUGGCUAGACACCUAGGGGUCGUCCUGAGACCACCCCUCACUCUUCAGCCUGUGUCUAACUCAUCAGCAAGUUCUACCAACUCCAUUUCCCAAAAGAUUUGCCAAACACAUCAUCUUUUCCCUGUCUCCACUGCUGUCAAGCUAGUCCAAGCUCUUAUUGUAUCCACUUCCUGUGGCUGCUGUAACAAAUGGCCCCAAACUUAGUGGCUUAAAACCAUGCGCACUGAUGAUCUGCAGUCUGGACCGCAGAAACACCAAAGCCAAGGUGGGGGCAGAGCUGCUUCCCACGGAGGCUCCAGGGGAGAAUCUGUUUCCCGUAGCUCCCAGCUCCUCCCUCCAUCCUCAGAGUUCUCUCUUUGACCCUCUCAUCUGUGGUCACAUCUCUUUGCUCCACCCCUCCUGCUGCACCUCUGUCACACACUGAGCUCACCUGGAUAAUCCACAGUCAUCUCCUCAUCUCAAGAUCCUAAUUUAUCACUUGAAGAAGUCCCUUUGCUGUAGAAGCCAAUGUACUUAUAGGUUCCAGGCAUGAGGACGUGGACACCGUUGGAGGACAUUAUUCAGCCCGCCAAAGCCAUCAUCCUGCCCGGGUUAUUCCAACAGCACCCUCGUUGUCCCCUUGUUCUGUCCUUUCCUUCUACAGUCUAGUUAAAACAAAAGCUAGACUGACCAGUGCCUCCUCUGCCUAAGCCUUCCAGCGUGACCAGGGGCUGACCAAAAGAAGAAGGUCUCACCUCAGUCUCUGACUUUGCUUCAUCCCUUCCAACCUCCCUACUGGUCUCCUUCACCUUCCUGCAGGCUUCUGCCCCAAGACCUUUGCAAUCGGCCAUGUUCUUUGCCUGGACCACCUUUCCCCCUCCAUGGCUCCGCUCUCUCACUUCCUUCAGAUCUCCCAUCAAAGUUCAUCUUCCCUGUAAAGCCUUCCCUGGCCACCCUCUCUGAAAGGGCACCACCAACUCCAUCCUACCCCAUCCCUCUCAUCCCCCUGUAGUCCAUUUUUUUCAUAGUCUUGUUAUGACCUGGCAUUUCCUACUUUUUCUGUGCCUGAUGUUGGUUUCCCACAGUAGCAGCAUUCUCCAAGAAAGCAGAGAUUGCAUCUGAUUUAUGGACUGUCCCUGGCACCCAACCCUGUGCCCGGACAGACCCUCUGAGGCAAGACCUUUGGUUUGAAUUGUUUUCUGGCCCCUUAUUGACCAAACCUUGAGGAAUUGACUCAAUGGGUAACCACGGCUGCAAUGCAAGAGAGAUUUGGGUAAGGGUUGUGGGUUGGGAGAGAAAGGAGGAGGAGACUUUCCCUGCUUGGUAUGAGAUGGGGAGGGCGAGGAUGGCGGCUUCAAGAGUGAGAAUGUGCAGAGGAACUGAGAACUUAGCUUUGUUCAGAGUGAGGAGUCAUAGGGAGAAAGUUGUCGCCCUCUGGCUCCCAUCCUUUGGUCGCUCCUGGGCAUGGUCCAGAGGCACUGGGGAGGACUUCUAGAAAUGUAUCAUAUAGCUACGCUGACACAUUAAUAUUUACUGUGAUUGUUUGCAAUCACCAAGGAUGGGCAACAGCUGAAACGCCCAUCAGUAGAAAACUGGUGGAACAAUGGGUAAGAUAUCAUGUAGAUAUUAAGAAAAGAAUGAAGCAGUGCCCAGGUCUUGAUUUCAAAUCUAUUCUUUAAUGAAAGGAACCAGGGCUCGUUGGAGUAAUGGCUAUUUCUAGGGCUGGGGCAGGGAAUACACAAGGUGAACCUGGAGUAUCUUGUAAUGCCAAAGAGUAAGACAGAGCUCAAAACAAAUUUUUUCCCCUAAUGGGAUACAAGAGCCAACUGAAAGGGUCCCCAGUGUUCAAGGCUGGAACAUUUAGAUUAACAAAAUAAAUAAUGUAGCCAGGCACGGUGGCUCA